AGUGAGCGCUGGCGGUAGGCCUAACACAUGCAAGUCGAACGGCAGCACAGGAGAGCUUGCUCUCUGGGUGGCGAGUGGCGGACGGGUGAGGAAUACAUCGGAAUCUACUCUGUCGUGGGGGAUAACGUAGGGAAACUUACGCUAAUACCGCAUACGACCUACGGGUGAAAGCAGGGGACCUUCGGGCCUUGCGCGAUUGAAUGAGCCGAUGUCGGAUUAGCUAGUUGGCGGGGUAAAGGCCCACCAAGGCGACGAUCCGUAGCUGGUCUGGGAGGAUGAUCAGCCACACUGGAACUGAGACACGGUCCAGGCUCGUACGGGAGGCAGCAGUGGGGAAUAAUGGACAAUGGGCGCAAGCCUGAUCCAGCCAUACCGCGUGGGUGAAGAAGGCCUUCGGGUUGUAAAGCCCUUUUGUUGGGAAAGAAAUCCAGCUGGCUAAUACCCGGUUGGGAUGACGGUACCCAAAGAAUAAGCACCGGCUAACUUCGUGCCAGCAGCCGCAGUAA
rnacentral:rRNA from 1 species